GAAGAAAUUCGGAUUAAUACCCCAUAAUAUCACUGAAAGGCAUUUUUUAGUGAUUAAAGCUCCGGCGGUUAAAGAUGGGCAUGCGUACCAUUAGAUAGUUGGUGAGGUAACGGCUCACCAAGGAUACGAUGGUUAGGGGGUCUGAGAGGAUGAUCCCCCACACUGGUACUGAGACACGGACCAGACUCUUACGGGAGGCAGCAGUGAGGAAUAUUGGGCAAUGGGCGCAAGCUUGACCCAGCCAUGCCGCGUGAAGGAUGAAGGCCCUAUGGGUUGUAAACUUCUUUUGUACGGGACGAAACUCUCGGUCGUGACCGGGAUUGACGGUACUGUAUGAAUAAGCAUCGGCUAACUCCGUGCCAGCAGCCGCGGUAAUACGGAGGAUGCGAGCGUUAUCCGGAUUCAUUGGGUUUAAAGGGUGCGUAGGCGGAAUAGUAAGUCAGUGGUGAAAGCUUGCGGCUUAACCGUAAAAUUGCCGUUGAUACUGUUAUUCUUGAGUGUAGUUGAAGUGGGCGGAAUGUGUAAUGUAGCGGUGAAAUGCUUAGAUAUUACACAGAACACCAAUUGCGAAGGCAGCUCACUAAGCUAUUACUGACGCUGAGGCACGAAAGCGUGGGGAGCAAACAGGAUUAGAUACCCUGGUAGUCCACGCUGUAAACGAUGAUCACUCGUUGUUGGCGAUAUACCGUCAGCGACUGAGCGAAAGCAAUAAGUGAUCCACCUGGGGAGUACGCCGGCAACGCUGAAACUCAAAGGAAUUGACGGGGGCCCGCACAAGCGGAGGAACAUGUGGUUUAAUUCGAUGGUACGCGAGGAACCUUACCUGGGCUUGAAAGGGGAUCGACCUCCCGGGAAACCGGGAUUCUCUUCGGAGCGGUCUCCUAGGUGCUGCAUGGUUGUCGUCAGCUCGUGCCGUGAGGUGUCGGGUUAAGUCCCAUAACGAGCGCAACCCCUAUUGUUAGUUGCCAGCGGGUAAUGCCGGGAACUCUAACGAAACUGCCGGUGUAAACCGAGAGGAAGGUGGGGAUGACGUCAAAUCAGCACGGCCCUUAUGUCCAGGGCUACACACGUGUUACAAUGGCCGGUACAAAGGGCAGCUACUUGGUGACAAGAUGCUAAUCUCUAAAACCGGUCUCAGUUCGGAUCGAAGUCUGCAACUCGACUUCGUAAGCUGGAUUCGCUAGAAUCGCGCACAGCACGGCGCGGUAAACGU
rnacentral:rRNA from 1 species